rnacentral:misc_RNA from 1 species
AAGCUCCUCUUUAAAAUGCUUGUAUUGAGACCUCUUUUUAACCAACUCUGUUGGCCAUAGUGCUUUCUCGGUCGGCAAAUAUCCCAAUAGCAGCUUCCACACUGUAGCACGAAUGCCAGCUCCAUCUGGUAUCCCUUGUGAUGCUAGCCUCCUGACUUCUCCCAUGUUUAUAAUCUUUCUUGACAACUCUUGACAAAGCUGAGCCUGACGAGAAAUAUCCUCAGCUGACGAAAUAGCUGCUGCAGCAGCAGCAGAUGCAGACGUCAUUGUACUACUAGCGGAACUUCCAUUUUCAUCAUCACUAUGAUAAUUACUACUACUACUCAAAGGAUCUCUAAUUUCCGCUUUAGCGCGUGGAGGCCCGUGCCUAGUCUCCGCUCUAACCACUGCCGGGGCUGCCGUCAUUGAACCAGGCCGUUCGACCGUUAACUCUCCGUCAUUAGCCGAACCACCAGCUUUAACGGCGUUAACAGUAACAGUAGAUGAUUUAGUAGCUGAACGUGUAGACCGGUUGUCAUCCUCAUUUAACGGCGUCGGCGAUGAAGAUGGAGAUUGAACUGAAGGUUGUGGUCCAGGAGACGACCAGAGUGAGCUGUUGAGCCAAUCGGGAACGCGUUUGUUAACCAUAUCGUAGGGCUUAUUUUUUAAAAACAGAAUUGAUACAACGGCGGAGCAUACGGUGGCUGAAUAAGUGAAUUCGGCAGAUACGGUAGGAUUGAUACGCCGGCGGUGUUGAUACUCCGGCGAGGUGUCAUUGCAGUGAGAGGAAGAGAAGUCGUG